rnacentral:rRNA from 1 species
AUACGGAGGAUCCGAGCGUUAUCCGGAUUUAUUGGGUUUAAAGGGAGCGUAGGUGGAUUGUUAAGUCAGUUGUGAAAGUUUGCGGCUCAACCGUAAAAUUGCAGUUGAAACUGGCAGUCUUGAGUACAGUAGAGGUGGGCGGAAUUCGUGGUGUAGCGGUGAAAUGCUUAGAUAUCACGAAGAACUCCGAUUGCGAAGGCAGCUCACUAGACUGUUACUGACACUGAUGCUCGAAAGUGUGGGUAUCAAACAGGAUUAGAUACCCUGGUAGUCCACACAGUAAACGAUGAAUACUCGCUGUUUGCGAUAUACAGUAAGCGGCCAAGCGAAAGCAUUAAGUAUUCCACCUGGGGAGUACGCCGGCAACGGUGAAACUUAAAGGAAUUGACGGGG